GAGAUCUUUUCCAAUCAAGUACAAAUUUUGUAUCAGGAGCAUAUAAUGUGCGAGGAGGUGUUUCUGCUCCUCGUACACGAACCAUCAGGAGAAGCCUCGAUGAAAAAUGUCGAACCGGAGGUCUAAGAAGUACCCCCAGGUUACCAGGAGAACAUGAAGGUUGAGAUCUUUUCCAAUCACGUACAAAUUUUGUAUCAGGAGCAUAUAAUGUGCGAGGAGGUGUUUCUGCUCCUAGUACACGAACCAUCAGGAGAAGCCUUGGUGAAAAAUGUCGAACCGGAGGUCUAAGAAGUACCCCCAGGUUACCAGGAGAACAUGAAGGUUGAGAUCUUUUCCAAUCACGUACAAAUUUUGUAUCAGGAGCAUAUAAUGUGCGAGGAGGUGUUUCUGCUCCUCGUACACGAACCAUCAGGAGAAGCCUCGAUGAAAAAUGUCGAACCGGAGGUCUAAGAAGUACCCCCAGGUUACCAGGAGAACAUGAAGGUUGAGAUCUUUUCCAAUCACGUACAAAUUAUGUAUCAGGAGCAUAUAAUGUGCGAGGAGGUGUUUCUGCUCCUAGUACACGAACCAUCAAGAGAAGCCUUGGUGGAAAAUGUCGAUCCGGGGGUCUAAGAAAUACCCCCAGGUUACCAGGAGAGCAUGAAGGUUGAGAUCUUUUCCAAUCACGUACAAAUUUUGUAUCAGGAGCAUAAAAUGUGCGAGGAGGUGUUUCUGCUCCUCGUACACGAACCAUCAGGAGAAGCCUUGGUGAAAAAUGUCGAACCGGAGGUCUAAGAAAUACCCCCAGGUUACCAGGAGAACAUGAAGGUUGAGAUUUUUUCCAUUCAAGUACAAAUUUUGUAUCAGGAGCAUAUAAUGUGCGAGGAGGUGUUUCUGCUCCUCGUACACGAACCAUCAAGAGAAGCCUUGGUGGAAAAUGUCGAUCCGGGGGUCUAAGAAAUACCCCCAGGUUACCAGGAGAGCAUGAAGGUUGAGAUCUUUUCCAAUCACGUACAAAUUUUGUAUCAGGAGCAUAAAAUGUGCGAGGAGGUGUUUCUGCUCCUCGUACACGAUCCAUCAGGAGAAGCCUUUGUUGUAAAAUGUCGAACCGGAGGUCUAAGAAGUACCCCCAGGUUACCAGGAGAACAUGAAGGUUGAGAUCUUUUCCAAUCACGUACAAAUUUUGUAUCAGGAGCAUAAAAUGUGCGAGGAGGUGUUUCUGCUCCUCGUACACGAACCAUCAGGAGAAGCCUUGGUGAAAAAUGUCGAACCGGAGGUCUAAGAAGUACCUUCAGGUUACCAGGAGAACAUGAAGGUUGAGAUCUUUUCCAAUCACGUACAAAUUUUGUAUCAGGAGCAUAAAAUGUGCGAGGAGGUGUUUCUGCUCCUCGUACACGAACCAUCAGGAGAAGCCUUGGUGAAAAAUGUCGAACCGGAGGUCUAAGAAGUACCUUCAGGUUACCAGGAGAACAUGAAGGUUGAGAUCUUUUCCAAUCACGUACAAAUUUUGUAUCAGGAGCAUAUAAUGUGGGAGGAGGUGUUUCUGCUCCUAGUACACGAACCAUCAAGAGAAGCCUUGGUGGAAAAUGUCGAUCCGGGGGUCUAAGAAAUACCCCCAGGUUACCAGGAGAACAUGAAGGUUGAGAUCUUUUCCAAUCACGUACAAAUGUUGUAUCAGGAGCAUAAAAUGUGCGAGGAGGUGUUUCUGCUCCUCGUACACGAACCAUCAAGAGAAGCCUUGGUGGAAAAUGUCGAUCCGGGGGUCUAAGAAAUACCCCCGGCUACCAGGAGAACAUGAAGGUU